CUCUUAAUUACAAGCAGUUGGAGGAUAAAGCAGAGGAGGUGCUGUCAAGACUAAGCAUAACUGAUGAACAGGCUGCCGUACUUGAGCAAGCUACACGGAAACAAACCAAAUCGCCGAUUUGGUUCCAGCAGAGAGCAGGAAGGAUAACCGCAUCCAACAUUAAAGCAGCGGCACACACUAGCAUAAACAAACCAUCCGUUUCCCUAAUCAAACGAGUGUGCUACCCAGAUGCUUAUAAGUUUGAAACAUCAGCAACAAGAUGGGGAUGUGAUCAUGAGCGCACUGCAAGGGAAGCAUAUUUUAAAGUCACAGCAUCAAAGCAUUCAUCCUUCUCUAUCAAUGAUGCUGGGUUGUUCAUCAAUCCAGACACACCCUUCAUUGGAGCUACACCAGAUGGCCUUGUGCAUUGUGACUGCUGUGGUGAUGGUGUAUUGGAGGUUAAAUGUCCUUACAGUAAGAAGGAUGUCCCUAUGGAGACUGCUUGUGCUGACCCCUCAUUUUAUUUAUCCACAUCUGACCAAGUAAACAACCAAGGCAAACCAUUCUCCUGGAAAGUAACACAGACUCAGACGAUGACGAGACCCAAAAAGACUUAGAGAUGAGUAAAAAAGAGUCGGAGAGAAAAAAGCGAGAGGCAGAUGAGAGGUUGCGGCUUGAGGAAGAAGAAUUGAAAAAGGAAUCCUUGAGAAGAUGACACUCUGAGAUGUGCAGGAAGAUGUGUGGGGAGGCAGCCUACCUGCAAGGCCUCACUUGAAAUGGCUGCUGAAGAGACACGCGUACAUAAAGUGCCAUAGAAGCUUUACUGAAAUUAGUGAAAUAUGCCAUCAUCCUGCAAUACACACAUGGUCUAAAAGAGAAAUGACAAGACAAGCACAUAAGAAAAUGAGAUGAUGGAAAACCUCUUUAGUUGUUUGUGUUCUGCUCAGAUGUUGCCUAGCGACAAGGGAUGCUCGGUACUUUGAUAACAUCUUCUCCACAUUGGGAGAGAUUGAAAGAGAACAGGUGAUGAGGAGGGUGACUCCAGGAAUGCGGCCCCAUUACAAUGUGAGUAUGAGGCGACCACGGACACAUGUUUAUGCCAGACUGCAACACUGUACUAAUGAAACUCAAUGCAUGCAUCAAGGACAUUCACCAAAGAGCCACUGCAAACAAGAUGAUGCUUAAUGCUGCAAAGCAUUGGUUCUUCAUUUUACAUCAAGAUUUUCACAACAGCCACUUCCAGUCAUUUCCAUCACGGUUGGUGAUGUGAAACCACUCAACGAAAGCCAGAAAUCUCUGUGCAGUCAUGGAUGAACAUCUACAUGUAUCACCGAAGGCCCAUGUCGCUACCCUAUAUGCCGCUCUUAAAUUACUGUCAUCCAAAGAUGUUUUAAAUUUAGAAAAUAAUGAUCCACACAAAUACACCUGGAAAUUGUUUAGUUUUCCUUGGCCGUC